AAAAUGUAGUCUUAUUAUAACAUAAUAAAACUUUCAACAACGGAUCUCUUGGCUCUCGCAUCGAUGAAGAACGCAGCGAAAUGCGAUAAGUAAUGUGAAUUGCAGAAUUCAGUGAAUCAUCGAAUCUUUGAACGCACCUUGCGCUCCUUGGUAUUCCGAGGAGCAUGCCUGUUUGAGUGUCAUGAAACCCUCAAACCCAAGUUUUGGAUUUCGAUCCAUGCUUGAGUUUGGAUUUGGAUGUUUGCCGGUGAUGAACCGACUCAUCUUAAAAGUAUUAGCUUGGAUCUGUCUAUAUGACUGGUUUGACUUGGCAUAAUAAGUAUUUUGCUGAGGACAUCUUCGGAUGGCCAGGACCUAGACUACUGUCUGCUAACUAAACCAUCACUUUAAGUGCAUCUUUGGAUGUUACUCAUUGUGUAACUUUGACAUCUGGCCUCAAAUCAAGUAGGACUACCCGCUGAACUUAAGCA
rnacentral:rRNA from 1 species